GCAGCCGUGGCCUACUGGUUAGGGCUUCAGGCUUGGAACUGAAAUGUUGCCGGUUCGAUCCCCGACCCAGUAGGA
rnacentral:tRNA from 1 species